rnacentral:lncRNA from 1 species
CCCAGGCGUCCGAGUUGGUCAGGCCUGUGUACCACAGCUGGCCGGCUGCGUCCCGUCCCAUGGGCGUGUACUUCCAGCGUGUGGCCUGCCUGAUGGCUGGUGGCCAGCGGGAACCCUCCAGGGACAGGUAGUCAUCGCUGAGGGUGGGCAGGGGGCAGAGACUGAGCCCAUGUCUACAGCGAGUGCUUUGACCCCUUUGCGAUGUCUGCCAGGGUGGAUGAUGUAGAGGCCUGGCCCACGGCGUGGGGUCUCCCUCCCUCGCCACUUGGAGUCUGUCCUUCAGCCCUGUACCCCUCACCCCAGAGUGGGUGCUUGAGGAGAGAGGCUGACUCCCCCUCUCCCCACACAUCGCACCCCAAGCACCCAAGUCAGCACUAAACCUUUCUGUUCUCAGCUUUUCUUGCCUGGAGAAGAGGGAGGGGAGAGGACAAGGGCCCUGGCUACUCCUGGAUUCCUACAGUCCUUGUCCAGCCUCCAAGACCCACAAGUCCCUUCCUCUGGGAAGCCCCCCUGGCCUGGAGGUGCACCAGGAAGAAGUGGUCUGGGGCUGGCACUAAGCCAUGGCCCAGGGAAGACUGGGGGACCCACUAGGCCAGGUGUGUGGCUCACGCUUGUAAACCCAGCACUUUGGGAGGCUGAGGCAGGUGGAUCACUUGAGGUCAGGAGUUCGAGACCAGCCUGGCCAGCAUGGUAAAACCCCAUCUCUACUAAAAAUACGAAAAUUAAGCCAGGCAUGGUGUGGGGGCGGGGGGCACCUGUAAUCCCAGCUACUCAGGAGGCUGAGGCAGGAGAAUCGCUUGAACCCAGGAAGUGGAGUUUGCAGUAAGCUGAGAUCGUGCCCUUGCACUCCAGCCUGGGCAACAGAGUGAGACUCUGUCUCAAAAACAAAAAGACAAGAGACUCAAAGAUGUUUUAUGCUUUGACCUUGCUCUUGGGAAUAUGUCCCAAGGAAGUCAUCCCAGAAAACAAGGUUGCUGGCCCCAAGACAGUCUAGCAGGGUUCAAAACAAUCUCAUCUGCCCUGCACGGAAAGCCCGGUUCCAGCUCUCAUGGCAGGAACUCUGCUUAAAUCCUGACUAGACUCCCAGGUGCCCACAGAACAUGGGAGUAGCCUGGUCAGUUACAGAGCCUGUUUGAGGGACCCCACAUAGACUCGGCUUUUCCACUAGAAAGGCAAUUUCAAGAUCAGGAGAACCUCACCCUUUUGAAAUGAAUUGCAAGACACAUGUAGCUUUUAAAACACAAUUAAAACAGCACAAAAUUGUCUGGGCGCAGUGGCUCAUGCCUGUAAUCCCAGCACUUUGGGAGGCCAAGGUGGGUAGAUCACCUGAGGUCAGGAGUUCGAGACCAGCCUGACCAACAUGGUGAAACCCCGUCUCUACUAAAAAUACAAAAAUUAGUCAGGUGUGGUGAUGGACACCUGUGGUCCCAGCUACUCGGGAAGCUGAGGCAGGAGAAUUAGCUUGAACCCGGGAGGCGGAGGUUGCAGUGAGCCGAGAUUGCGUCACUGCACUCCAGCCUGGGUGAGAGAGCGAGACUCUGUCUCAACACAAACAAAACAGCACAGAAUAAUAUUCAAUGAGAAAUGAGCCCCUCACCCCUGCUGUCGGCCCCGUACCCACCUGCCACUCACUACUUUCUGGUGUUUCCUCCCAGGAGCAGGUGGUACAUGCACUCACCCCCGUUAUUACACACUUGCGGGAGCCCAUUCACUGCAUCUCCAUUUUUUUAAAAAAUAGAAAUAGGGUCUUGCACUGGGUGCGGUGGCUCAUGCCUGUAAUCCCAGCACUGUGGGAGGCCGAGGCAGGCGGAUCAUGAGGCUGGUCUCGAACUCCUGACUUCAGGUGAUCCGCCUGCCUCGGCCUCCGAAAGUGCUGGAAUUACAGGCGUGAGCCACUGCGCCUGGCUGCCUGGCUGAUUUUUAAAUUUUUUAUAGAGAUGGGGUCUCACAGCUAGGCGCGGUGCCUCACGCCUGUAAUCCCAGCACUUUGGGAGGCCAAGGAGGGCAGAUCAUGAGGUCAGGAGAUCGAGACCAUCCUGGCCAACAUGGUGAAACCCCGUCUCUACUAAAAAUACAAAAAUUAGCUGGGCAUGGUAGCGCAUGCCUGUAAUCCCAGCUACUUGGGAGGCUGAGGCAGGAGAAUCGCUCGAACCAGGGAGUUGGAGGUUGCAGUGAGCCAAGAUUGCACCAUUGCGUUCCAGUCUUGCGACAAGAGUGAGACUCCGUCCAAAAAAAAAAACAAAAAUUAGCUGGGCAUGUGGCACAAACCUGUAGUCCUAGCUACUCAGAAGGCUUGAGAUGGAAGAAUCCUAGAACCUGGGAGGCAGAAGUUGCAGUGAGCCAAGAUUGCGCCACUGCACCCUAGCCUGGGCAACAGUAUGAGACU